GCCCUAGUGGUGUAACGGUUAAGCACAUGGCUGCUAAUCCAAAGGUUGGCGGUUCGAACCCACUCAGGGGCU
rnacentral:tRNA from 1 species